rnacentral:rRNA from 1 species
UACGUAGGGGGCAAGCGUUGUCCGGAAUUAUUGGGCGUAAAGCGCGCGCAGGCGGUCCCUUAAGUCUGAUGUGAAAGCCCACGGCUCAACCGUGGAGGGUCAUUGGAAACUGGGGGACUUGAGUACAGAAGAGGAAAGCGGAAUUCCACGUGUAGCGGUGAAAUGCGUAGAGAUGUGGAGGAACACCAGUGGCGAAGGCGGCUUUCUGGUCUGUAACUGACGCUGAGGCGCGAAAGCGUGGGGAGCAAACAGG